UACGGGGGGGGGCAAGCGUUGUUCGGAAUUACUGGGCGUAAAGCGUGCGCAGGCGGUUAUGUAAGACAGAUGUGAAAUCCCCGGGCUCAACCUGGGAACUGCAUUUGUGACUGCAUAGCUAGAGUACGGUAGAGGGGGAUGGAAUUCCGCGUGUAGCAGUGAAAUGCGUAGAUAUGCGGAGGAACACCGAUGGCGAAGGCAAUCCCCUGGACCUGUACUGACGCUCAUGCACGAAAGCGUGGGGAGCAAACGAGG
rnacentral:rRNA from 1 species